AUUGAACGCUGGCGGCAGGCCUUACACAUGCACGUCGAGCGGAGCGGCGGACGGGUGAGUAAUGCCUAGGAAUCUGCCUGGUAGUGGGGGAUAACUUCCGGAAACGGGCGCUAAUACCGCAUACUAUCAGAUGAGCCUAGGUCGGAUUAGCUAGUUGGUGGGGUAACGGCCUACCAAGGCGACGAUCCGUAACUGGUCUGAGAGGAUGAUCAGUCACACUGGAACUGAGACACGGUCCAGACUCCUACGGGAGGCAGCAGUGGGGAAUAGUGGACAAUGGGCGAAAUCCUGAUCCAGCCAUGCCGCGUGUGUGAAGAAGGUCUUCGGAUUGUAAAGUACUUUCAGCGAGAAGGCGUUACUCGCAGAAGAAGCACCGGCUAACUCCGUGCCAGCCGCCGCGGUAAUAC
rnacentral:rRNA from 1 species